rnacentral:rRNA from 1 species
UACAGAGGGUGCGAGCGUUAAUCGGAAUUACUGGGCGUAAAGCGCGCGUAGGCGGCUUUGCAAGUCGGGUGUGAAAUCCCCAGGCUUAACCUGGGAACUGCAUUCGAGACUGCAUUGCUAGAGUAUGGGAGAGGGAAGUGGAAUUUCCGGUGUAGCGGUGAAAUGCGUAGAUAUCGGAAGGAACAUCAGUGGCGAAAGCGACUUCCUGGACCAAUACUGACGCUCAUGUGCGAAAGCGUGGGGAGCAAAUGGG